rnacentral:rRNA from 1 species
UUAUGUGAUCGUCUCUCGCAUAUCAAUAAGCGGAGGAAAAGAAAACUAACAAGGAUUCCCCUAGUAACGGCGAGUGAAGCGGGAAGAGCUCAAAUUUGAAAUCUUAAAGGGUUUCCCUUUACGAAUUGUAGUUUAAAGAAGUGUUUUCUGUUGAGGUUUUGGUAAAAGUUCUUUGGAAUAGGACAUCAUAGAGGGUGAGAAUCCCGUAUUUGGUCAUUCCUUCUAGCUUUGUGAUACACUUUCAAAGAGUCGGAUUGUUUGGGAAUGCAGUCCAAAAUGGGCGGUAAAUUUCAUCUAAAGCUAAAUAUUGGCGAGAGACCGAUAGCGAACAAGUACCGUGAGGGAAAGAUGAAAAGAACUUUGAAAAGAGAGUUAAAACAGUACGUGAAAUUGUCAAAAGGGAAGCGUUUGACACCAGUGUUGUUUUUCUGAAAAUCAAUUAAAGAACUGUUUAUGCUAAGUUGUUUAGACUUUAUCAGCUAACUGUUUAGUUUUGAGCUUUUCUUUAAUGCACUCUUCAGUUAACAAGUCAACAUCAAUUUCUUUUGCUGUAAAAAAGCUUGAGGGAGGUGGCUUGAGAUUCGUCUUAAGUGUUUAUAGCCUCUUGCCUAUGCAGUCGGAGAGAUUGAGGUCUGCAGCGUAGAUCCUUCGGGGCUAAAUGCAUUUGUGCUAAGUUAUAGCAUUUUAUAGACAACUUGUUGACUAUGAUUUGUCUUGUAGCUUACUCGCUUAUGUUAUUUUACCUACGCUUAGGAUGUUGAUCUACAGAGCGAGAGU